AGGUAUUAAAGCAGUCAUUGUUUAUUUGGUAUUUCAUGAUGAACUGUGAGACGCUGGACGGAGCUACAUAGAAAACCCCGUGUGCAGCCUCACAGUGAGUCAUGCACAUCAUUGCACUGUAAAGAAAGUCAAAGCUCGAGUGACGACACCUCAGGCCAACAUACAAAAAUAAAGAUAUUAUUUACAAACAACAACAUUUUCCCAUCAGCACGUGUCAGUGUUUUCAUCAGACAGUGAAAAGAAGUUCAACAUGUAGAAAUCACUGUGGUUUCAUUAGAAGACGCACAAAUAUCUGUACACGUGCCACAUCCUCGGCCCGAAGGCUCAUCUGCUACCUUCACAUCAGUGUGUUCAUCACAGUGUGUCUGAGAGCGAGUGCAGACCACAGGCUCCGAAACCUCAGCAGCCCCACACCAUUGCACACCCCACACUGUGGAAAUGUUUGAGCAGCUCAGUCAGAGGAUCUCCACACUCAGCAUUCCUGUUUCUCACGGCUGAAAAAAAUCAGUUUCAUCAUCUUCAAGUUAAAAAAAAAAUUUAUUUUUUUAUUUUUUUAAAUAAAUUCUCUCUAAAACCUCGUUACCUGUUCAGUUCUGUUACAGUGUGUCGUGAAUAAUGUUUGUGUCACACGGUUAAACACUGUGAUUGUGUUUAUAGUUGCACACAUGAUAAUAUGUGAUUGUGUGACUGUUGUUGUCCCAGCCCGAAAUGUUUUAGGAGAAAUAUAUUCACGAGAUAAUAACAAAAAAAGAAAUGUUCAGUGAACGGCUACAUGGUCCUACUAGUGCUGCUUUUUUCAUGGGUUUCAUGGGAGAUGAACUGAACCUAAUUUGAUGAACAUCAGAGAAGGAGAGACAGUAAAAGAAAAAAUGUCCCCCUCAAAGCCCUGAUGCUCUCAGAGCUUCUACAACUUUGUUCUUUUACUUAUUUCAUGAACUUAAGUUCAUUUAUUAAUUAAGGUCACUAAUAGGGUAAAACACGCCAGAGGAAAAAUGGUUGAACUUCCUGCUGUUUUUGUCACCUGUGGUUUUAAGACUUAUGCGUUUCCCCGUUAGCUCAUCCCCAUUCUCCCAGAGCUAACAGAGCCCAUCACCAAUCAUUUACAAUGUUUUCUAAUUGUGAAACAGUAAUUCUCAUUAUUUCUGCACAGCUAACAGUUUCUACACUGUUAGCUAGUAACCUCAUUUUUAAAUUGUGAAUCAUUAAUUUUCACGAUUUCUGCAUUUUGAACCCAUAAUAGUUUUGUAAUUGUUACCUUUAAUUUCCAUCAAUUUUCUAAUUGUGAAACGUUAUUAUCCAUUUAUCCCCAUUGUUAGCCGUUGUUCCCACUGCUUUGCAUUGUUUUCCCAUUGCUUUUGUAUUUUUGUAUUGCUAACCAUUAAAUCCCACUGUUUCCCAUUGGUAAGCAUUAUUUCCCAUUAUUUUCUCACAGUCAUGUGUGAGUUGCUGAUAUUUUCCAUUGUCUGUGUGAAAUGAACACUUCCUGAUGCUUGAUACAGCGUUGAUGCUGUAACUGCGUCUGUCCCAUCAUCACCUGAGAUCUCCCGCAGAGCGCGUCGUGAUCAGAGUCGCUCUGUGUCUCCAGCGGCGACCCGAACCUCAGUUUCACAGACUCCUCCCGACAAACUGUACGAAAUAAGUGAAAAUCCAAAUGUCCUUCAGUCUUUACAGCCGUAGAUUCACACAGGAGGAAGUGGGCGUUACUGUUCAGAGAGAAACGUGUGAAGCAGCGCGACUCGGUAACGGGACCGAGGAGGAGGAACCCUCAUUAGAUGCUACAGACUGUGUGGAUCGCG
ensembl:lncRNA